AGACCCAACACCAAACAGUUUGUCCUCCUUUGGCCACAACCCCAAAAGCGGCACUGUACUAACACAUGUGCAUCCUGCAGUGCCAGCCCACAGCCUUGGGACAUGAAGGUCAGGUUGCUGAAUCUUACUGCUCACAUAUGCAGAAAAGUACCCAAGGGGACUCCCAGGAAACACAUGUGACCACAGCUGUGCAGGCAGGGUGUGCUCAUGGCGCUUAGCAGCCCACAUCCCCACAGCUGCCUCUCAUCAAGGCUCCUUGAAAGGCUCAGAGCCCUCCAGCAGGAGCCCUGACCAGAUCUACCUUGGGAACCUGAGCUCCUGACCGGCUGGAACAGACUCCUUUUGGGAUGCCAGACAGGAAUAAGUGACAGCUAUUCAGGGCGAAAGGUUGAGAACUCACCAUGACGAGAUUAGCAGGAUCUUACUGUUCAGGAUGAAUGGACAAAAAGAAGUCAUUAAAAUCAACGUAGAUCUCUGCAAAUGGAUGUAACGGGAACACACAAAUCUAAUUUCAGAUACACCUUUUGCUGUGUUAACUGUUACCCCACAGAGAAAAUAUUCCAAGGUUAUCACAGAGAAACGUCUGGAAAUGUCAUCCUGGUGUUUGGCAGAGAUCAGAAAAGCAAGGAGGAUAACUGAGGAAGGAAUACAGACCAAAGCAGAAAAAAAAGAUGAGGUCACCAUAAAACCCCACAUCCUGUGCAUACGGUUCUGAUGUCCUGUCUGAAAAGCAAGGAGCAGAGCUGGAAACAGCAGAGCACCAAGAUGCAUGGCAGCAGCUCAGGGAACGACAGCCACACAAGGAAAGAUUAGGAUUACGCAUCUCAUAAUGCUGCAGAGAUACAGUAGAAGUCUAUAAAAUCAGGAGUGAUGUAAAGAAGGUGAUCAAGGAUAAACUGCUUGCUAUUUCUCACUGCACAGGAACUGGCAAGAUCCCAGCUGCAAUGGGCCAUGGGUGUAAAACCAACAAUAGGAAGAACUUCUCUGUAUAUGUACAUAAAUAUAUACUCACUGAAAACUGUAGGACUUGGUGCCACAAAAUGCUGCGGAAUAUAAAUGGGCUUAGAAUGAGAUUAGACAACUUCAUGAAGGACAGGAGCAUUUGUGGCUGUGAAGCACAAUCUUGUGCCUGCAAAUCUUCUUUGAGGAGCUGAGAAGCACCAUUGUAUUGCAGCCCCACUACAUUCCUGUCUGGUCCAAGCGACUGAACACACAUUCUUAGAUUUCUAUAAGCUGUCUAACAUUCUACAUGUAUAUAUUAUAAGAAAUAUUAAUUGUAACUUAUGGUUUCUGGUAUAUUCUUAGCCUUUGGUAGAGAAUGCAAAUGCUAUUUUAGGGCAUACUGUGAAGAAGGCACUUUGCCAAGACAAGCCUUUGGUGCAGACUGUCUUCUUUCAUCUGGUAUCGGGGCCUUCUGCAUUCCAGUAUUUCCACAAUUUUUAGUGUCAUCUACAAAGUUUAUGAUUAACAAUUCAUAGUUUCUUCUUUCAUCGCUGUUAAAACUUUUAAACUGUGCACGGCCAGGAACUGAUCCCUUCGGGCUCUCGAGUCCCACAGUGCUCAUUUACCAUUACUCUGCCAAACUGCCGUCAGAACUGUCAGAGAGCCACCAUCCAAUCCGUUCAAUUUUUAGCCUGUUUAUUUGUAUGUUUCUGAUUUAUUAAGGAGAGAGUUUGGCAUCAGUCUAUUAGAAGCCUUCCUGUUGGUGGUAUUAAUAGACUAUUACUUUUUUUAAUUGAACUUGUCAGCGAUUCAAAAAUAUGUCAUAUUAGCUCGGUAUUUUCCAUAGACUCAGUGGGGGUGAGUUAUAUUUUCCAGUUUUAAUUCUUCACUGAGUUGCUGCAUCACUCAUUCCGUUCUCUGGCUGUGGUGUCAGGGCACAGGCGCCUACCUGUUGCGUGCUUCCUCACCUGCUCAAACAACAUCAGUUCUGUAACUUCAUUCCCAAACUUACUGAAGAUGGAUGCCAAUUGUCUGGAAAGCUUCCUGUUGGCUCCCGUGUAGCUCUCAGAUGUAAACUGUCUAAACUACAGAUUUAAAAAUGGUGCUAGGCAAUGCCUUCUGUGAUCAACGGGAGUUAAUUACGUCUCGCCAUCAUUUAACGUGACAACAUCGUCUAUCUUUUCCUCUGAAGUCAGAGGAUGGUGAUUAAUAAAAAACUGUGCUUUCACAAUUUCCUCAUUUCUUGUAAUGGGCCAAUAUUACUGUUAGGAUUGUUUUCAUUCCAAAUACACUUACAAAAAAAAAAAAAAGAAAAGGUUUUAAAAAUUAAUUACGUUAGGCAUGGCUUUCUUGUCUCAUCCUGACUGAGUCGUCUUUUUAAAAAAUGAUGAAGAUUAGUCAGGAUCUUGGGUUCAUCUGUACUGAAUCUCAGAUUUGUUUGGCUUGUGAUUAUCUUCCAGCGAUGAAAAAUACUGCUCAACCCAACUGCAAUGAUGAUUUGAAAUAAAUAUGAAAUUGAGGAAAAAGAUGCAAGUGAGUCAGUGCUGGUGAGAGUUUUCUCCCACUUCUGGCCGUGGGUCUGUUUGUUUUGGUUUUUUUUUUUUCAAUUCCUCUCUAAAAUUCUAUCGUAUUAAGGAAUUGUGUGUGCAGUUUAGUAAAUUCAUCAGUUGGCUCUGGAAAUGGAGUCAGGGAAGGGUGAAUAUAGAUGCAGGUACACAUCCAAGUGUUGUCUCUACAGGAGAUAAACAGAGGGCCUGAGAUGGAUGGAUAUUGCCACAAAAGGGAUCAGAAAUAGAGCCAAGCAGAGGUUGGAUAUCUCGAAGUCUGGGGACUAAACUAGAAACAUGAGGAAGUCUCUAGCGGUCAGAAAGG
ensembl:lncRNA